UUACUUUUCUUACUUUGUGGCUUAGAUUAUUAAAAGAUUGUAGAGUUUUCUAUUGUUGGAGCUAGUUGGUCCCUUUAAUUUCAAGGUGUUAGUUUCUAAUCGUUUUUUUUAUUUUUUAUUUCAUUAUUUUGAUUGUCGUCUUAUCUUUUCGAAGUUAUGAAAAACUAUUUUAGUAUAAAAAAAAAACUUAAUAAUCUAUG
rnacentral:lncRNA from 1 species